rnacentral:rRNA from 1 species
GUCGAGAAUCUUUCACAAUGGGGGCAACCCUGAUGGAGCGACGCCGCGUGGAGGAUAAGGUCUUCGGAUUGUAAACUCCUGUCAUGCGUGAACAAGGUUGCUUGGUUAAUACCUGGGCAAAUUGAUGGUAACGCAAGAGGAAGAGACGGCUAACUCUGUGCCAGCAGCCGCGGUAAUACAGAGGUCUCAAGCGUUGUUCGGAAUCACUGGGCGUAAAGGGUGCGUAGGUGGCGUGGUAAGUCAGAUGUGAAAGCCCGGGGCUCAACCUCGGAACUGCAUGCGAUACUGCCAUGCUAGAGUACUGGAGAGGUGACUAGAAUUCUCGGUGUAGCAGUGAAAUGCGUAGAUAUCGAGAGGAAUACCAAAGGCGUAGGCAGGUCACUGGACAGUUACUGACACUGAGGCACGAAGGCCAGGGGAGCGAACGGGAUUAGAUACCCGAGUAGUCC